rnacentral:rRNA from 1 species
GGGAGCACACAGUGGGGAAUAUGCACAAUGGGCGAAAGCCUGAUGCAGCGACGCCGCGUGAGGGAUGACGGCCUUCGGGUUGUAAACCUCUUUCGACAGGGACGAAGCGCAAGUGACGGUACCUGUAGAAGAAGCACCGGCCAACUACGUGCCAGCAGCCGCGGUAAUACGUAGGGUGCGAGCGUUGUCCGGAAUUACUGGGCGUAAAGAGCUUGUAGGCGGUUUGUCGCGUCUUCUGUGAAAACUUGGGGCUCAACCCCAAGCUUGCAGGCGAUACGGGCAGACUAGAGUACUUCAGGGGAGACUGGAAUUCCUGGUGUAGCGGUGAAAUGCGCAGAUAUCAGGAGGAACACCGGUGGCGAAGGCGGGUCUCUGGGAAGUAACUGACGCUGAGAAGCGAAAGCAUGGGUAGCGAACAGGAUUAGAUACCCUGGUAGUCCAUGCCGUAAACGGUGGGCGCUAGGUGUGGGUUCCUUCCACGGGAUCCGUGCCGUAGCUAACGCAUAAGCGCCCGCCUGGAGACCCCCCCA